AAAUAAGUACUACUAUUUUCUACAUAGAUACCACUCAUGCGCAGAGAUUUCACUGAAAACAUCCUAUUUUUACUUCAUCGACAGAGUCCCUGUCAAAAAUGUACAUACUAUUGAGUUCUUUUAUAAGGACUGUUUGAGGUUUUUUAAGUACAAUAAGUGUACUAUUUUCAUAUUUGUUUUCUUUUUUCAAUUUCGUACCUUCAGUACAUAGUGUAUUAGAUUGUUUAUAACAGCACAAACAAGAAGAGCUGAGAAGAGAACAGCAAAACGACAACGUGUUUUGAGAGCUGCUGAAAGUUCUCUUCAGACACGAGUUCGUUCAGAAAGACAAGUUAUGCAGCAGGAAGCUAGAAGAGCGACAGCAACGCCAGAACAAUUGCAGGCAAGAAGAAUUCAUGAUGCAGAAGUAAGGACCACGCGUCGUCAUGACUAAGUAUUGGCCUGUAUUUAAUGGUACUGGUUUUCAAAAUGAUCCUUUAGUUGAGUAUUCUAAUCAUUCCUUAAAUGUUAUUGGCUCAAUGGAUCGAAAAUGUCAGUAUUGUGAUGCUUUUAAAUGGAAAGAUGAAACUGCUGGAAUGUGCUGCAGCGCUGGUAAAGUUUCACUUCCAUUACUUGGUGAACCAGAAGAACCUUUAAAAGCUUUAUUGUUUAGUGUCACAGAUGAGUCAAAAAGAUCUCUAAGUAAAACAAGGAAGUAUAACUCUUGCUUUAAAAUGACAACCUUCGGAGUUGAUAAAGUGAUAAGAAUGCCUGGAUUUUCACCAACCUUUACUGUACAAGGACAGAUAAUAUCAAUUGGUACUCAAGUAUUUCCAGGAUAUAAUGAUCAGCAUAAAUUGUUGCAGGUGUAUUUUCUGGGUGAUGAACAAAAUGAAGUAAAUCGUCGUUGCCAGUAUAUUGGUGGAGUAGAAAGAGAACAUUAUUAAAAUUGAAGAUUUUAAAAGUGCGAUGACAACUGACCGUCAGAUAAUUACAAAGUUGUCAUUUAAGCUGAUCGAACUCCAUGGUGAACAUGAGGCGUUAUAAUGCACCGCUGGUCAAUGAGGUUGCUUUUGGUUACUGGUGACCCGUGGUCCCCUCGAGACAUAGUGUUAAGCAUGAUAAUGCGUUAAAGCGCGUAGCUGAUACUCAUAAAUUUUAUAAUAUGAUGCUUUGCAGUAUGUAUUAAUUUUCGGCAAAGGUGAAUCGGAUAUCAUUUCAAUAUUUCAGUCAUCCAUCCGACAACGAACAAACAAUUCCAAAUAAAAAGUUUCCUGUAUGGACUUUAUGCGUAUUACAUGAUGCAUCGGAGCAUGACUUCAAUCUUCUUCUGCGUACAAGGCAACUCUUCAAUCAAUUUUUACUAAUAUGUAUAGAAGUAGUAGAGAGUGAACGUCUUCGUUACAUUUUCUAAAUCAGAAAAUUACGUGGUGAAAAUUACAUACAUCUACAAGAUGCGAUUAAGCAGAUGACAAUAUUAGCUAACGACAUUGGCAAAAUGGUUAUGCAGGAGUAACUCAAGACGCUCACUUAUUACGAAUUAUGACUGAUCUCGUAACUUUUCCUGUAAUCCUUCGUGGCAGAAUGUUACUCAAGAACUUAUGCCUGGUCAAAUAGCCACUGAUCGUCACGAUAUAGUUGCUCGCGUAUUUUGUUUAAAGGUACAGAAGUUAAUGAACGUUGUGACUAAAGGAAAAAUAUUUGGAGGAAUUCGAAACACUGCAUCACCUUGCAUGAAAGAUGGCAAGUGUACACCAAAAAAUAUUCUCGAGAACUGAUUAGAGAAACAGUUCACAAUGAUAAGGGUUACCCGUUAUAUAGACGAAGGGCGACUGCUGAUGGUGGUAAACAUGUUAACAUUCGGACUUGCAGUGGGAAAAUAAAGAGUUUUGAUAAUAGCUGGGUUGUGCCCUAUUCGCCAAUUUUGUGUAAAAUUUUCAACGCCCACAUAAAUGUUGAAGCCUGUAAUUCUGUACGUGCGAUUAAGUAUAUUUGAAAAUAUUAUAUAUCAAUAAAGGAAGUCAUCAAGCAAUCUUCAAUUUGCAUAAUAAAGAUGCUGUGCGAAAUACAAACCUACCAUGCAGGAAGAUAUGUCAGUAGCAACGAGGCGGCAUAGCGGCUUCGUGGCUUUCCACUGCAUGAAAUAUAUCCUACUGUUACAUCACAGUACAUUUAGAAAACCGACAGCGUGUUUUUUUAAUGACAAUACUUUUUAAGGCAGACGUUUGUAUCCCCCUGAGACAACACAGACUGCGUUUUUCAAGCUUUGUUAGAAUGAUAAUUUUGCAAAGACAUUAUUGUACUCUGAGGUUCCCCGUUAU